AUUGAACGCUGGCGGCAGGCCUAACACAUGCAAGUCGAACGAGUGGCGGACGGGUGAGUAAUGUCUGGGAAACUGCCUGAUGGCGGGGGAUAACUACUGGAAACGGUAGCUAAUACCGCAUACCAUCAGAUGUGCCCAGUUGGGAUUAGCUAGUUGGUGGGGUAACGGCUCACCAAAGCGACGAUACCUGGAUGGUCUGAGAGGAUGACCAGCCACACUGGAAAUGAGACACGGGUCAGACUCCUACGGGAGUCAGCAGUGGGGAAUAUUGCACAAUGGACGCAAGCCUGAUGCAGCCAUGCCUCGUGGAUGAAGAAGGCCUUCGGGUUUUAAAGUACUUUCAGCGGGGAGGCGUUACCCGCAGAAGAAGCACCGGCUAACUCCGUGCCAGCAGCCGCGGUAAUAC
rnacentral:rRNA from 1 species